rnacentral:rRNA from 1 species
GACUCUGGACAGUGGAUGACUUGACUCGUGUGUCUCUAAGAAUACAGUUAGCUGUAAGAGUUAUCGUGAAUGGCAGAAGGACACAUUGACUUCUGACAGUUUGAAUGCACUUGUGGCCCCAGGUUCAUCUCAGAGCUAUGCCUGUCUGAACAUCA